rnacentral:tRNA from 1 species
AGCUUAGACGGUAAAGCAUCCGCCUGCAAUGUGGGAGACCUGGGUUCGAUUCCUUG